AACGAACGCUGGCGGCGUGCCUAACACAUGCAAGUCGGACGAUGAAGCCGGAAGAGCUUGCUCUUUUGGUGGAUUAGUGGCGCACGGGUGAGUAACACGUGGGUAACCUGCCCUUGAGUGGGGGACAACAUCGGGAAACCGGUGCUAAUACCGCAUAAGCGCACGGAUUGUAAUAUCUGUGUGAAAAGGAUUUAUUCGCUUAAGGAUGGGCCCGCGCCCUAUCAGGUAGUUGGUGAGGUAAUGGCUCACCAAGCCUAUGACGGGUAGCCGGUCUGAGAGGAUGAACGGCCACACUGGAACUGAGACACGGUCCAGACUCCUACGGGAGGCAGCAGUGGGGAAUUUUGCGCAAUGGGGGAAACCCUGACGCAGCGACGCCGCGUGGAGGACGAAGGCCUUCGGGUUGUAAACUCCUUUUAUGAGGGAAGAUGAUGACGGUACCUCAUGAAUAAGCCACGGCUAACUCUGUG
rnacentral:rRNA from 1 species